UACGGGGGGAGCAAGCGUUGUUCGGAUUUACUGGGCGUAAAGGGCGCGUAGGCGGCGCAACAAGUCAGUUGUGAAAUCUCUGGGCUUAACCCAGAGCGGUCAACUGAUACUGUCGUGCUAGAGUGCGGAAGGGGCAACUGGAAUUCUUGGUGUAGCGGUGAAAUGCGUAGAUAUCAAGAGGAACACCUGCGGCGAAGGCGGGUUGCUGGGCCGACACUGACGCUGAGGCGCGAAAGCCAGGGGAGCGAACAGG
rnacentral:rRNA from 1 species